UCUUUUAGAUAUUUCUUACCAUUUAUAUUUUCUAUGUGGUUUGAAUUUGGUUUGAAAUGGUGAAAUUGACAAAAGAGUCCAACACAAAAUGUCGACGAUUUGAAAAGAUUUGAUUUUACAGAGCCGCCAGUUUGUAGAAGUGAAAUGGUUGUACUAACUCAACCGAGUUUAUUAAAAGCUUUGCAAAAGGCCCUAUUAUUGGAUUCUGUUUAACAUGCCUUUGAAACCAAGAUUCAUA
rnacentral:lncRNA from 1 species